rnacentral:rRNA from 1 species
GACGAACGCUGGCGGCGUGCCUAAUACAUGCAAGUAGAACGCUGAAGGAGGAGCUUGCUUCUCUGGAUGAGUUGCGAACGGGUGAGUAACGCGUAGGUAACCUGCCUGGUAGCGGGGAUAACUAUUGGAAACGAUAGCUAAUACCGCAUAAUAUUGACUAUUGCAUGAUAGUCAGUUGAAAGGUGCAACUGCACCACUACCAGAUGGACCUGCGUUGUAUUAGCUAGUUGGUGGGGUAACGGCUCACCAAGGCGACGAUACAUAGCCGACCUGAGAGGGUGAUCGGCCACACUGGGACUGAGACACGGCCCAGACUCCUACGGGAGGCAGCAGUAGGGAAUCUUCGGCAAUGGACGGAAGUCUGACCGAGCAACGCCGCGUGAGUGAAGAAGGUUUUCGGAUCGUAAAGCUCUGUUGUAAGAGAAGAACGAGUGUGAGAGUGGAAAGCUCACACUGUGACGGUAUCUUACCAGAAAGGGACGGCUAACUACGUG